GGAACGGCCUCCUCUGCUGCAGGACAGAGGCGCGUGCGCAUGGACGCUCUGAAAGCUCCAUCCUGACCGUAGUGUCUUUGUGAGAGACCGGAGGACCAUGCAGCGGAACAAUACCAUCUACCCCCUCCCCUCCCACCAUCAACGGAAGCGUUUAGUGCCAUGUGUGCCCCCAGAGAGGGGACCGGGAGGGAAAAAAAAACGAUGAGCAAGAGGCUGCAGCUUGUGUGCCAGUGGGGACAAAGAGGCUGCUGCCAGUUGCCACGGACCACCCCCACCUACCCCCUACUCCCCCACUCCCCCCAGAUGCUGAAGAUUGGAGCCCAGAACGAGGGGCUUGUGUGCGAGGAAGCCAUCUUGAUGGAGAAGCUGGCUGCCUGCUUCCUAAAAUGGCUGUGUUGGCAUGAGAACCAGGAUGAUGACCCCCCUGAUCUGAUUGGUUGUCCAUGACCUCAUCUUCCACAGUUUUAACUUUGGAGACCAAUGGAUUGACCACUAAAAUCUGAUAUCUGAUGACUCGUCCUGGCGAACACAUAAUGGACAAUCAAAUCAAUUUGCACAAUUUAGAGGAUUCGCAUAAAAAUCUAAAAAUUUUAAAGUCCUUGUACUUAAAUGUAAUGUAUAAAACUGUAUAUGUAAUAUAUGUAUGCUGCAUAUUGUUUUUACAAAGGCCAAGUGUUUUACAGUCUUUUCAGACUGUGCAGAAUCCUUAUGAUGAGAAUGUGCCUUAAUGUGUGAACUGUUUACAAUGAAAGAGUAGAGUGCAUCUAUUAAUAGACGAUACUGUACAGUGUUAAUGAAUGUGCAAGUCAUUUCUGUUCCGCUGUUUUAAAUGUGCUUUUAAUGUCUCUGUGACUAAAUGAAAUCUACGUCCUUCCAUGAUGAACAUUAUAUCCAUUAAAACUCGUCCUUCCACUGAGAGAUAUCUCACUCAUACAGGAAAUGGUGCUCUUUGCUUAAUAAUCAGGUUAUUAUUCUGGCACAUGUGUUAAAUACUGAAAUGAGGAGCUGAAACUUCUCCAGGCCUUCUGUUUAACAGCGUGAUUCAUUCUUUGUACUUUACUCAGCCAUGUAUGAAAUGGAAUCAAUAAACUUGUGCAAUAUGAAAUUGACA